UCGAGGAUCUUCGGCAAUGGGCGCAAGCCUGACCGAGCGACGCCGCGUGUGGGAUGAAGGCCUUCGGGUUGUAAACCACUGUCGGGGGGAGGAAAUGCAUGAGAGUUCUCUCUUGUGUUUGACCUAUCCUCGGAGGAAGGACGGGCUAAGUUCGUGCCAGCAGCCGCGGUAAGACGAACCGUCCAAACGUUAUUCGGAAUUACUGGGCUUAUAGGGUGCGUAGGCGGCGAGGAAAGUAGGGUGUGAAAUCCCUCGGCUUAACCGAGGAACUGCGCUCUAAACUACCUUGCUCGAGGGAGACAGAGGUGAGCGGAACUUAGGGUGGAGCGGUGAAAUGUGUUGAUAUCCUAAGGAACACCGGUGGCGAAGGCGGCUCACUGGGUCUCUUCUGACGCUGAGGCACGAAGCUAGGGUAGCGAACGGGAUUAGAUACCCGGUAGUCCUAGCUGUAACGAUAGAGCACUGGAUCGAA
rnacentral:rRNA from 1 species